GCUGGCAGCUAGCUCUCUGCAACUCUCACAUGGUCACCCACUGAAGCUAAGCAAGGCUGCGCCCGUUCAGUCCCUGGAUGGAAGACCACAUGGGAAAGCUAGGUUGCUGCCAGAG
rnacentral:rRNA from 1 species